rnacentral:rRNA from 1 species
UUUGAUCAUGGCUCAGGACGAACGCUGGCGGCGUGCUUAACACAUGCAAGUCGAACGAUGAAGCGGUGCUUGCACCGUGGAUUAGUGGCGAACGGGUGAGUAAUACGUGAGUGACCUACCUUUGACUCUGGGAUAAGCCUGGGAAACUGGGUCUAAUACCGGAUACGACCAAUCUCUGCAUGGGGUGUUGGUGGAAAGCGUUAUGGAGUGGUUUUAGAUGGGCUCACGGCCUAUCAGCUUGUUGGUGAGGUAAUGGCUUACCAAGGCGACGACGGGUAGCCGGCCUGAGAGGGUGACCGGCCACACUGGGACUGAGACACGGCCCAGACUCCUACGGGAGGCAGCAGUGGGGAAUAUUGCACAAUGGGUGCAAGCCUGAUGCAGCGACGCCGCGUGAGGGAUGACGGCCUUCGGGUUGUAAACCUCUGUUAGCAUCGAAGAAGCGAAAGUGACGGUAGGUGCAGAGAAAGCGCCGGCUAACUACGUGCCAGCAGCCGCGGUAAUACGUAGGGCGCGAGCGUUGUCCGGAAUUAUUGGGCGUAAAGAGCUUGUAGGCGGUUGGUCGCGUCUGCUGUGAAAGGCCGGGGCUUAACUCCGGUUUUGCAGUGGGUACGGGCUAACUAGAGUGCAGUAGGGGAGACUGGAAUUCCUGGUGUAGCGGUGGAAUGCACAGAUAUCAGGAGGAACACCGAUGGCGAAGGCAGGUCUCUGGGCUGUAACUGACGCUGAGAAGCAAAGCAUGGGGAGCGAACAGGAUUAGAUACCCUGGUAGUCCAUGCCGUAAACGUUGGGCACUAGGUGUGGGGGACAUUCCACGUUUUCCGCGCCGUAGCUAACGCAUUAAGUGCCCCGCCUGGGGAGUACGGCCGCAAGGCUAAAACUCAAAGGAAUUGACGGGGGCCCGCACAAGCGGCGGAGCAUGCGGAUUAAUUCGAUGCAACGCGAAGAACCUUACCAAGGCUUGACAUGCAUUAGAUCGCGUCAGAGAUGGCGUUUCCCUUCGGGGCUGGUGUACAGGUGGUGCAUGGUUGUCGUCAGCUCGUGUCGUGAGAUGUUGGGUUAAGUCCCGCAACGAGCGCAACCCUCGUUCUAUGUUGCCAGCGGUUUGGCCGGGGACUCAUAGGAGACUGCCGGGGUCAACUCGGAGGAAGGUGGGGAUGACGUCAAAUCAUCAUGCCCCUUAUGUCUUGGGCUUCACGCAUGCUACAAUGGCCGGUACAGAGGGUUGCGAUACUGUGAGGUGGAGCUAAUCCCUUAAAGCCGGUCUCAGUUCGGAUUGGGGUCUGCAACUCGACCCCAUGAAGUCGGAGUCGCUAGUAAUCGCAGAUCAGCAACGCUGCGGUGAAUACGUUCCCGGGCCUUGCACACACCGCCCGUC